rnacentral:rRNA from 1 species
GAUGAACGCUGGCGGCGUGCUUAACACAUGCAAGUCGAACGAAGCACUUAAGAUUGAUUCUUCGGAUGACGUCUUUUGUGACUUAGUGGCGGACGGGUGAGUAACGCGUGGGUAACCUGCCUCACACAGGGGGAUAACAGUUAGAAAUGACUGCUAAUACCGCAUAACCCGAUAGGAUCGCAUGAUCCAGACGGAAAAGAUUUAUCGGUGUGAGAUGGACCCGCGUCUGAUUAGCUAGUUGGUGAGGUAACGGCCCACCAAGGCGACGAUCAGUAGCCGGCCUGAGAGGGUGAACGGCCACAUUGGGACUGAGACACGGCCCAAACUCCUACGGGAGGCAGCAGUGGGGAAAAUUGCACAAUGGGGGAAACCCUGAUGCAGCGACGCCGCGUGAGUGAAGAAGUAUUUCGGUAUGUAAAGCUCUAUCAGCAGGGAAGAAAAUGACGGUACCUGACGAAGAAGCCCCGGCUAACUACGUG